GUCUAUACUUUUUUUAGAAAACUA
rnacentral:tRNA from 1 species